rnacentral:rRNA from 1 species
GAACGGACCCUUCGGGGUUAGUGGCGGACGGGUGAGUAACACGUGGGAACGUGCCUUUAGGUUCGGAAUAGCUCCUGGAAACGGGUGGUAAUGCCGAAUGUGCCCUUCGGGGGAAAGAUUUAUCGCCUUUAGAGCGGCCCGCGUCUGAUUAGCUAGUUGGUGAGGUAACGGCUCACCAAGGCGACGAUCAGUAGCUGGUCUGAGAGGAUGACCAGCCACACUGGGACUGAGACACGGCCCAGACUCCUACGGGAGGCAGCAGUGGGGAAUCUUGCGCAAUGGGCGAAAGCCUGACGCAGCCAUGCCGCGUGAAUGAUGAAGGUCUUAGGAUUGUAAAAUUCUUUCACCGGGGACGAUAAUGACGGUACCCGGAGAAGAAGCCCCGGCUAACUUCGUGCCAGCAGCCGCGGUAAUACGAAGGGGGCUAGCGUUGCUCGGAAUUACUGGGCGUAAAGGGCGCGUAGGCGGAUCGUUAAGUCAGAGGUGAAAUCCCAGGGCUCAACCCUGGAACUGCCUUUGAUACUGGCGAUCUUGAGUAUGAGAGAGGUAUGUGGAACUCCGAGUGUAGAGGUGAAAUUCGUAGAUAUUCGGAAGAAC